UACGGAGGUGGCAAGCGUUGUUCGGAAUUACUGGGCGUAAAGGGCGCGUAGGCGGCAAGGCAAGUCAGGUGUGAAAGCCCCGAGCUUAACUCGGGAAUUGCAUCUGAAACUGCUGUGCUUGAGUUCUGGAGGGGGUAGUGGAAUUCCCAGUGUAGCGGUGAAAUGCGUAGAUAUCGUAAGGAAGACCAGUGGCGAAGGCGGGU
rnacentral:rRNA from 1 species